rnacentral:lncRNA from 1 species
UAAAGCAUAAGCAUUUCACAAAUCAUGGAAGUUCAACACUCAUCAAAAGUCCACAAAUGGCAAUCCAGAAAGAAAAAUAUCAAACAAAUCAGAAAUGAAUCCAAAAAAAUAUACAAAAAUUCAUGAUCAAUCCUAACAUACAGAAGUAGCAUCAUGCAAAAAUUCACAUCAUUUGGCAUUUAUUUGGCAUGGUAAAGAAAAUCAGAAAAUCAAGCAAGCAAAGGUGUGACACACAUUGUCACACCUACGUUAAUCACAUCAUAACUCAUCAACCAGAAAAUAGAAAAAUGCAAACUCUAUACCAAAAGAUCAUGCAAAGUGUCUAGUUUAAGCAUGUCAAUUUUCACAUUCAUUGGAUCAACCAUCAUCAUUUCACAAAGAAAAUGGUAAGCAAGGUACAAGAUAGCAUAUGCAUGAACAAACCCUAGGCAAUUUAAAAAUCCAACCGAGCACAAAUUCUGGAAAAAUCAUAAUAAAAUAGAAGACAUCAUAAGGAACAUUGUGAAAAAAACCUCAUGUGAUUUGGAUGAGUAUUUAUAGAGUUAUGGAUUUUUGAAUGAAGAGAAAAAAUAAAAAAAUGAUGAAGCAAUG